UACGUAGGGUGCAAGCGUUGUCCGGAAUUAUUGGGCGUAAAGAGCUUGUAGGCGGUUUGUCGCGUCUGCUGUGAAAUUUCGGGGCUCAACCCCGAACUUGCAGUGGGUACGGGCAGACUAGAGUGUGGUAGGGGAGUCUGGAAUUCCUGGUGUAGCGGUGAAAUGCGCAGAUAUCAGGAGGAACACCGGUGGCGAAGGCGGGACUCUGGGCCGAUACUGACGCUGAGGAGCGAAAGCGUGGGGAGCAAACAGG
rnacentral:rRNA from 1 species